rnacentral:rRNA from 1 species
UUUAUGGAGAGUUUGAUCCUGGCUCAGGAUGAACGCUGGCGGCGUGCCUAAUACAUGCAAGUCGAGCGAACAGAUAAGGAGCUUGCUCCUUUGACGUUAGCGGCGGACGGGUGAGUAACACGUGGGCAACCUACCUAUAAGACUGGAAUAACUCCGGGAAACCGGGGCUAAUGCCGGAUAACAUGUUGAACCGCAUGGUUCUACAGUGAAAGACGGUCUUGCUGUCACUUAUAGAUGGACCCGCGCCGUAUUAG